CAUGAAGCCGGAAUCGCUAGUAAUCGCGGAUCAGAAUGCCGCGGUGAAUACGUUCCCGGGUCUUGUACACACCGCCCGUCACACCAUGGGAGUCGGAAAUGCCCGAAGUCUGUGACCCAACCGCAAGGAGGGAGCAGCCGAAGGCAGGUCGGAUGACUGGGGUGAAGUCGUAACAAGGUACC
rnacentral:rRNA from 1 species